GAGUUUGAUCGUGGCUCAGGACGAACGCUGGCGGCGUGCCUAAUACAUGCAAGUCGAGCGGAUCUUCAUUAGCUUGCUUUUGAAGAUCAGCGGCGGACGGGUGAGUAACACGUGGGCAACCUGCCUGUAAGACUGGGAUAACUUCGGGAAACCGGAGCUAAUACCGGAUAAUCCUUUUCCUCUCAUGAGGAAAAGCUGAAAGACGGUUUCGGCUGUCACUUACAGAUGGGCCCGCGGCGCAUUAGCUAGUUGGUGAGGUAACGGCUCACCAAGGCGACGAUGCGUAGCCGACCUGAGAGGGUGAUCGGCCACACUGGGACUGAGACACGGCCCAGACUCCUACGGGAGGCAGCAGUAGGGAAUCUUCCGCAAUGGACGAAAGUCUGACGGAGCAACGCCGCGUGAGCGAUGAAGGCCUC
rnacentral:rRNA from 1 species